rnacentral:rRNA from 1 species
AUGGAUGAUAUCGACAUUGGUGUGGUCUGUGACGAGGGAUCCCCAGGUUCAACGUUGUCAAGGACAAGAACACCUGUACCCAAGGAAGAUGACUACCUGAUAGUAAUUCCUUAUGCCCACAUAUUUGACCUUAUGCUAAAAGCUUUAAAGUUGCCCCCUGCAAGUUACUAUCACAAGAUAUGUCUGGGCGGCAAGAAUCGUGUGACGGUUACUUUCAAUUCUUCCUCGCAAUUGGUUGAUGGUUUGCUUGUUCCGACCUCAAUAUCGGGUGCAAUUUUAGAUGGCUAUGAAGAUGCAGAAGACAGUGCUGCUAUCGCAGCUAUUAGGUACAUGGAAAAUGCAUAUGGCAGAGAAAUGAGAGACUACCACUACACCCAUGUCAAGAGGCUAGAAAAUCAAGUCAAGCAUCUGGUCAGAUGGUUAGUAGUAGCGAAUAAGACAAUCAAGAAGAUACGCAAAGGGUGGUACUACGCCGUCAGAUAUAUGAGUUCAUAUUCUACUCAAAUACAAAACACAACGACUGCUCGACACUUGAGUGGAUAG